GAUGAACGCUGGCGGCGUGCCUAACACAUGCAAGUCGAACGAAGCACCUUACCUGAUUCUUCGGAUGAAAGUUUGGUGACUGAGUGGCGGACGGGUGAGUAGCGCGUGGGUAACCUGCCCUGUACAGGGGGAUAACAGCUGGAAACGGCUGCUAAUACCGCAUAAGCGCACGAGGAGACAUCUCCUUGUGUGAAAAACUCCGGUGGUACAGGAUGGGCCCGCGUCUGAUUAGCUGGUUGGCAGGGUAACGGCCUACCAAGGCAACGAUCAGUAGCCGGUCUGAGAGGAUGAACGGCCACAGUGGAACUGAGACACGGUCCAAACUCCUACGGGAGGCAGCAGUGGGGAAUAUUGCACAAUGGGGGAAACCCUGAUGCAGCAACGCCGCGUGAGUGAAGAAGUAUUUCGGUAUGUAAAGCUCUAUCAGCAGGGAAGAUAAUGACGGUACCUGAAGAAGAAGCUCCGGCUAAAUACGUG
rnacentral:rRNA from 1 species